UAAAACCAUGAACACCACCGUCUGCAUCCUUUGCCUGCAAAUGUGGGAGGCCCCCUGCAUGGUCCAUUCCCGUGGGUGAGGAGAGGUUUCUGUGUGUUCUCCAGCUUUGGAGGUCUUGAGGGCUAUUUCCCACAGAAAAGGUGAUGCCGGUGGUGCUGACUUUUCCUUAUCUCGAAGCAGUGGCUGAUGUCCGAUGAGAUCCACUUCAGCUGCUGGGCUUACCCACGGCUCCCCCAGCCCAGGACCUGGACCCCCAGUCCUGCUGAGCAGGAUUCAGAUGUGUCCCUGAACACUGCUACUUGGACCCCUGGGAUGUCUCAUGAAGAGUUAAAGCAAGAAAUAGGCCAUCUGCAAAUGCCAAGCGUCCAGAGCAGGAAUUGAAACACUUCUCCUGCACAGGGUCAGACAGUAAGUCUUCUCAGCUUUGUGGGCCAUAUGGUCUCUGUCUCGAGCACUCAGUUCUACCCUUGUGUGGUGAAAGCAGCCGCAGACAAUGUGUCAACAGACGCACGAGGUUGGUGUACCAAUAAAACUUUAUUUACAAAACAAAAACAAAAACAAAAAACGACCCGACGGAUUUGGCUGGUCAGCUGGAGUUCGCCAUCCCUGCUUAGGGCGCUCAGUGGCUCUUUCCUGUGUGCCAUCGAUCAGAAGAUAUAAUGGACGGCAGUUGUGAGAUGUGGUUUCAGUCCCCGCUGUGCUGCUGACCGACUGCGUGACUUUAGCUCUCCAUAUGGGAGGAACUUCAGGGCAUCGCGCUGGUGGAAGGAAAGGAUGGAGGGUAAGUUUCGAAGCCUCUUUGCAAAACAAGCAUUUGUGUCUACUCGGCACUAUGCUCACUGGGGUCGCUUUGGGGGAACAGCUGCUGGAAAUUGGGGGGAUGUCCAUUUCACACACCCCCAUCAAACAGGUGCAGGAAG